rnacentral:tRNA from 1 species
GGGGACGUAGCUCAUUAACUUCAUCUCCGCUUCCUUGCCUUACGGGCCGUAGGUAGAUGGUUAUCGGUCAGAGCGCCUUUCGUGGGGAGACCCGCGGGAGGAGGGGCAGGUUCGUACCCUGCCGUUCCCA